rnacentral:sRNA from 1 species
ACUUUUUACCUCAGGGUCAUUAGAAAGCCACUACAGAUCUAGGCAUCUAAGCAGGAAUAAGAGAGGAAAGGCAACUCUAGCCACAUUAAUCACUUUUAUCAGGAAGAUAAAUGCUUUUCCCGAAUCUUUCAACAGGCUUUCAUUUUACAUUGGGCAUAUUUUUGUCAUAUAGCCUUCCCUAGCUGCAAGGGAGGCUUUUCAAACUUCUUUAUGGAAUUCAGCAAGAAAGUAAAGAGGAUAAAAUGAAGCACACUGGAUGAAUGGUGUGGCUUGAUGAAAUUAAGAAAUUUGGUACAACUAUAUAAAAAUGAAGAUGACACGGAAAUUUCAAAGAAGAUUAAGACUCAGUGGACCUCUUUGGGCCUAGAAGAUGUACAGUUUGUCAAUUACUCUGUGCUGCUUAAUCUGCCAGGCCCUUCUCCCAGCACUGUGACUCUGAGCAGCAGUGGUCAAUGCUUUCACCCUAAUGGCCAGCCUUGCAGUGAAGAAGCCAGAAAAGAUAGCAGCCAAGACCUGCUCUAUUCAUAUGCAGCCUAUUCUGCCAAAGGAACUCUCAAGGCUGAAGUCAUCGAUGUGAGUUAUGGAAUGGCAGAUGAUUUAAAAAGGAUUAGGAAAAUAAAAAAUGUAACAAAUCAGAUCGCACUCCUGAAAUUAGGAAAAUUGCCACUGCUUUAUAAGCUUUCCUCAUUGGAAAAGGCUGGAUUUGGAGGUGUUCUUCUGUAUAUUGAUCCUUGUGAUUUGCCAAAGACUGUGAAUCCUAGCCAUGAUACCUUCAUGGUGUCACUGAAUCCAGGAGGAGACCCUUCUACGCCUGGUUACCCAAGUGUCGAAAUAAGAGUCAUCAGCAUGCAAGUUCAGACAGUCACAAAAUUGAAAACAGUUACUAAUGUUGUUGGAUAUGUAAUGGGCUUGACAUCUUCAGACCGGUAUAUCAUAGUUGGCAGCCAUCAUCACACUGCACACAGUUAUAAUGGACAAGAAUGGGCCAGUAGUACUGCAAUAAUCACAGCGUUUAUCCGUGCCUUGAUGUCAAAAGUUAAGAGAGGGUGGAGACCAGACCGAACCAUUGUUUUCUGUUCUUGGGGAGGAACAGCUUUUGGCAAUAUUGGCUCAUAUGAAUGGGGAGAGGAUUUCAAGAAGGUUCUUCAGAAAAAUGUUGUGGCUUAUAUUAGCCUCCACAGUCCCAUAAGGGGGAACUCUAGUCUGUAUCCUGUAGCAUCACCAUCUCUUCAGCAACUGGUAGUAGAGAAAAACAAUUUCAACUGUACCAGAAGAGCCCAGUGCCCAGAAACCAAUAUCAGUUCUAUACAGAUACAAGGUGAUGCUGAUUAUUUCAUCAACCAUCUUGGAGUUCCCAUCGUGCAGUUUGCUUACGAGGACAUCAAAACAUUAGAGGGUCCAAGUUUUCUCUCCGAGGCCCUUUUUUCUACACGAGCAACAAAAAUUGAAGAAAUGGAUCCUUCUUUCAACCUUCAUGAAACCAUUACUAAGUGAAGAACACACAUGCUUUCAUAGUCUUGGAAUGUGUGGUAUGCACUCUAUGAUUGCUGAAAUAAAGUGCUUUUGAAAAUCCU